CUGACAUGAUGAUAUUUUGAGAAUGGUUUCGCAGAUUGUGCUGAAGUCAGUCUGAUGUCUCAUUUCUCUUGGCUAUCUGAUCAG
rnacentral:snoRNA from 1 species